GGCCCAGUAGCACGGAGUGUGCAUCUGCCUUUUAUGUGCUGAGCGAAUCGGAAGUAUUGCAGCAGAAGGACCUGGUUCGAUUCCAGGCUGGGUCA